ACUCCUACGGGAGGCAGCAGUGGGGAAUCUUAGACAAUGGGCGCAAGCCUGAUCUAGCCAUGCCGCGUGAGUGAUGAAGGCCUUAGGGUCGUAAAACUCUUUCGCCAGGGAUGAUAAUGACAGUACCUGGUAAAGAAGCCCCGGCUAACUCCGUGCCAGCAGCCGCGGUAAUACGGAGGGGGCUAGCGUUGUUCGGAAUUACUGGGGCGUAAAGCGCACGUAGGCGGACUAUUAAGUCAGGGGUGAAAUCCCGGGGCUCAACCCCGGAACUGCCUUUGAUACUGGUAGUCUUGAGUUCGAGAGAGGUGAGUGGAAUUCCGAGUGUAGAGGUGAAAUUCGUAGAUAUUCGGAGGAACACCAGUGGCGAAGGCGGCUCACUGGCUCGAUACUGACGCUGAGGUGCGAAAGUGUGGGGAGCAAACAGGAUUAGAUACCCUGGUAGGAUAGCG
rnacentral:rRNA from 1 species